rnacentral:rRNA from 1 species
CAUGCAAGUCGAACGGUGAAGCCAAGCUUGCUUGGUGGAUCAGUGGCGAACGGGUGAGUAACACGUGAGCAACCUGCCCUGGACUCUGGGAUAAGCGCUGGAAACGGCGUCUAAUACUGGAUAUGAGCUCUCAUCGCAUGGUGGGGGUUGGAAAGAUUUUUUGGUCUGGGAUGGGCUCGCGGCCUAUCAACUUGUUGGUGAGGUAAUGGCUCACCAAGGCGUCGACGGGUAACCGGCCUGAGAGGGUGACCGGCCACACUGGGACUGAGACACGGCCCAUACUCCUACGGGAGGCAACAGUGGGGAAUAUUGCACAAUGGGCGGAAGCCUGAUGCAGCAACUCCACGAGAGGGAUGACUUCCUUCUGGUUGUAACCUCUUUUAUCACGCAAAAAAUAAUAUG